CAGAGGGGGCAAGCGUUGUUCGGAAUUACUGGGCGUAAAGGGCGCGUAGGCGGCCUUCUAAGUCGAACGUGAAAUCCCCGGGCUCAACCCGGGAACUGCGUCCGAGACUGGAAGGCUCGAAUCCGGGAGAGGGAUGUGGAAUUCCAGGUGUAGCGGUGAAAUGCGUAGAUAUCUGGAGGAACAUCGGUGGCGAAGGCGGCAUCCUGGACCGGUAUUGACGCUGAGGCGCGAAAGCCAGGGGAGCAAACGGGAUUAGAUACCCCGGUAGUCCUGGCCCUAAACGAUGAAUGCUUGGUGUGGCGGGUAUCGAUCCCUGCCGUGCCGAAGCUAACGCAUUAAGCAUUCCGCCUGGGGAGUACGGUCGCAAGGCU
rnacentral:rRNA from 1 species